rnacentral:rRNA from 1 species
UGGUGGAGUGAUUUGUCUGGUUAAUUCCGUUAACGAACGAGACCCCUGCCUGCUAAAUAGCCCAAUAAGUGAUUUUUCUACUGAUUGUUGGCUUCUUAGAGGGACGAGCAUUCUAUUAGAUGCAGGAGGAUAGGGGCGAAUAACA